GGGGCCGAGCUGGCUGCGCCCUCCGCUGCAAGCGCCGGCAGCGCGGGGCGAGCUCCGGACGGCGCGCGGCCCAGGCAGCGGCUCCCGCUCGGCCCGCCCUCCGAGCCGCAGGGGCCGCCACCGCCGCGGCGCCUCCCCUGGCGACCGCGCCCCCGGGCCCCGGCUCCGGCCCGGGACGGAGGAGCCGGCGCUCGACACAGAGAGCUCUUCAGAAACCAGGCUGCUUUCAGGAACAUUGCUGUGGAUUCCCAGCUUUCAGACAACACAUGACUAAGACAGAAUGAGACCACUCUAGUUGCCUCAUGGGAAACUCGGGAAAAGACUGCAAAAACAACAUUGUUUCUCCCUUUGGAAUUCUGGAGUUAUAAGGCAGAGGUCCCCCAUCUUCCCGAACUGGCCUAUUCCACUAGAAGCAAGAUGGCUGAACUCAAUACUCAUGUGAAUGUCAAGGAAAAGAUCUAUGCAGUUAGAUCAGUUGUUCCCAACAAAAGCAAUAAUGAAAUAGUCCUGGUGCUCCAACAGUUUGAUUUUAAUGUGGAUAAAGCCGUGCAAGCCUUUGUGGAUGGCAGUGCAAUUCAAGUUCUAAAAGAAUGGAAUAUGACAGGAAAAAAGAAG
rnacentral:lncRNA from 1 species